rnacentral:rRNA from 1 species
UAGGAAGGCAGCAGUGGGGAAUAUUGCACAAUGGGCGAAAGCCUGAUGCAGCUAUGCCGCGUGUAUGAAGAAGGCCUUAGGGUUGUAAAGUACUUUCAUCGGGGAGGAAAAAACAAAACUAAUAAUUUUAUUUCUUGACGUUACCCGAAAAAGAAGCACCGGCUAACUCCGUGCCAGCAGCCGCGGUAAUACGGAGGGUGCUAGCGUUAAUCAGAAUUACUGGGCGUAAAGAGCACGUAGGUGGUUUUUUUAAGUCAGAUGUGAAAUCCCUGGGCUUAACCUGGAACUGCAUUUUGAAACUGAAAUACUAGAGUAUCGUAGAGGGAGGUAGAAUUCUAGGUGUAGCGGUGAAAUGCGUAGAUAUCUGGAGGAAUACCUGUGGCGAAAGCGGCCUCCUAAACGAAUACUGACACUGAGGUGCGAAAGCGUGGGGAGCAAACAGGGAUUAGAUACCCGU